rnacentral:rRNA from 1 species
CCUACGGGCGGCAGCAGUGGGGAAUAUUGGACAAUGGGCGAAAGCCUGAUCCAGCCAUGCCGCGUGUGUGAAGAAGGCCUUCGGGUUGUAAAGCACUUUCAGUGGGGAAGAAAGCCUUGGGGCUAAUACCCUCGAGGAAGGACAUCACCCACAGAAGAAGCACCGGCUAACUCCGUGCCAGCAGCCGCGGUAAUACGGAGGGUGCGGGCGUUAAUCGGAAUUACUGGGCGUAAAGCGCGCGUAGGCGGUCUGAUAAGCCGGUUGUGAAAGCCCCGGGCUCAACCUGGGAACGGCAUCCGGAACUGUCAGGCUAGAGUGCAGGAGAGGAAGGUAGAAUUCCCGGUGUAGCGGUGAAAUGCGUAGAGAUCGGGAGGAAUACCAGUGGCGAAGGCGGCCUUCUGGACUGACACUGACGCUGAGGUGCGAAAGCGUGGGUAGCAAACAGGAUUAGAUACCCGGUAGUC